CCAGAGGCCCCUGGCUGCCCAGACAAUAUGGUGCAGGUUUGCCCUGAAUCUCAGGACAGAAUCACGGCCCCAUAGUUUGGGCCUCUGUCCACACAGGGCCGGCGGGGAAAGGAGAAGGCAAGAAAGGAGAAUUAUCGACUCCAGGAAAACACUCGAUUGCAGCCUCAUGAGUAAAUGGGCCAUUUAUCCCCCAGUCGCUAGCUGUUUGAAAAGGUGACCGCCCAUCAAUCCCGCUCCAGCCGCCCCCCUGAUGAGCGGUUCUGCCAAUGGGCUAAUUUAGCUGAUUACAGAGGAAUCCAAGAGGAAUGGGCCGCCAGAGCGUGGGUCCCCGCCAGCAAUGCAUUAACUCUGGGUGUCUCCAUCGCCCUCCGCCUAGGCCGAUAGGACCAUCUGAUUCCUGAAAACAGGUCCAGCAGACCAGCUUAUCAGGUCUAUCUAAAGGUUGGCAUCUGCACCUUUGUGGAGACAGCGCCGUGCUAGAGAGAGACGCUCUGCCAAUGAAGCCAGCCCUACAGUGACCCACGAACCCAUGGAUCCUCCGUGGAUUGAAUUCAUUCACAGCCCUGCCUCUUAACCCCACCCCAUAUAGAAACCUGUCUCCAUUCUACAUCUGGGGGACACCUUCGUGUCAUCUGACCCUUAAAACGAAAGCAGCUCACACCAGGCUGGUUCCUCAAAUCUCAGUUCAGAUCCCUCACUCCACCUUUUACCGGCCAUGCCCUGGAGUAUCAGCCUUCUCGGCGGGAUUUUCCCAGACACCAGAUGCUGCAUCCUCAGGGAAGAUUUAAUAAGUCAUUCCAGGGUGUGUCCACGGAACGUUGAUAAAUAGCCAUCAGUAUACACACAUGCUCACCCACCUACACAACUAGGGAUUCCUGCCUAUUGGUGCUGUGAACACUUAUUGAGGAUCAACCUACAGGCUUGGUCCUGCUGGGCUGUAAGCAAAGUUCACUGCACCCCAUAACCUUCUGCUUCAGCCCCUUGGUUCCCAGAGAAACUGACCAGACAAGGUGUGAGUGGGACCCAGAAAACUGCAUUUCCAUCAGCCCCCAUGAGCCCUGGGUCCCCUGUGCACAGUAAACCCCGACACCGGGUGCCCCCACACCUUGUUCCCCCCACUUUCAUGGCUCCCCUUUUCCAAUGGCAACCAUGUAAAAUCUCGCUCGGCCUCAGGCACAAGGAUGACCGGUGUUCACGGGCUGACAUUGCUCCAGCAAUGCCCAGGAUCCAGCCGAGGCUUUUAAGUGAAUAUUUGGUAAUAGAACAAUCAAGUUAAAAGAUCAGCAUGACACGGGACAUGAGCAAGGGAAGUAACGUGGCCAAUUGAUUUGGAUUUCAUUUAUGGGUUUUUGAAAUGAAUUUCAUCUUCCAAGGCUGCUUAUAAAUCUCUGCCUCUCCUGGAGAUUAAUAAGGGAAACAGGCUUGAUUAAGAAUGCAGAACUCAGGGUCUGUUGGAGAUUUAUAGACCCAGAGGGCCGGCCACAGGGAUUCCAAGAUGUCCCACCUGCCAGCCAUCAUUUAGAAGGACUGCUCCUGCCGCUGCUUCAGGAGUAUAUUCUGGGACAUAUACUUUUCUGGGUAUCCUUUAGCAGGGCUGGAAUCAGUCGGUAGCAUUUGUAGACUUUCUUUUUCCCACAGUCUGGGCAGAAGGAGAUUUUAAUUUGAAAGUCUCUCAUUGGUCCCGUACGAAAGCAGAGCGAAGGUAAAGGUAGAUUGAGAUGAUACAGUAUGGUGCUGGGAAGAUCACUUAGCAGCUUAAGAAUGCUUGCAGAGGGUUGGGGAUUUAGCUCAGUGGUAGAGCGCUUGCCUAGGAAGCGCAAGGCCCUGGGUUCGGUCCCCAGCUCCGAAAAAAAGAACCAAAAAAAAAAAAAAAAAAAAAAAAAAGAAUGCUUGCAGAACUAGCAUGAGGACCAGAGUUCAAAUCCCCAGCACCCAUGCAAAAGUCAGGUACGGACUCACGUGCCUUUAACCCCAGGCCUCCUGAGUGAGAAUGGAGGCAGGGGAAUGGCUGGGACUUACUGACCACCACCCUAGCUCCAGGUUCAGAAAGAGACCUUAUCUCAAGGGAAUAAGGUGUGUAUUUGUGCUCUCUCUCUCUCUCUCUCUCUCUCUCUCUCCCUCUCCCUCUCCCUCUCCCUCUCCCUCUCCCUCUCCCUCUCCCUCUCCCUCUCCCUCUCCCUCUCCCUCUCCCUCUCCCUCUCUCUCCGCCUCCCUCCCUCUCUCAGAUUUCAAAAUAAAAACCAGACCAGUAAGA